CUUCCUUCUUCAAACUGCAAAUCCCAUCUCUCUCAUUUUCUCUCUCAGAAAAUGAAGAGCAACACCAACACUAAGCUCAUUCUUCUCCACCCUUCCAUCCACAAAUCACCUUCCUCUCAUCGUCUCUGGUUGCUCUUAAUCGUCACUUUCCUUACCUUAGCUUUCACUCUCACUCUCUUCUCCUCCACUAUUCCCUCCGUCACCACCGCUGCUUCCCCUUCCGCUUCUUCCUCCUCCCUCCCACUCUCUGUCGCUACUGCUCUACUCCAUUAUGCUUCUACAACCAACUCCACAACUCCUCAUAUGUCCUCUGCUGAGCUCUCCGCUAUUGCCUCCGCCUUACACCACUGUUCUCCUUGUAACUUCCUCAUUUUUGGCUUAACCCACGAGACCCUUUUGUGGAAAUCACUCAAUUUCCAUGGCCGCACAAUCUUCCUCGACGAGAGUGAGUAUUUUGUGUCGAACUUUGAGAAGAACCACCCAGAAAUCGAAGCUUAUGAUAUUCAAUACACCACCAAAGUAAGCGAAAUGGCGGAGCUUCUCUCUGCUACAAAAGAACAAGUUAAAGGUGAGUGUAGGCCUGUACAGAAUUUGUUGUUCUCGGAUUGCAAGCUUGGCAUAAACGAAAUGCCGAAUCACAUCUAUGAAGUUGCCUGGGAUGUGAUUCUGAUCGAUGGGCCUCGUGGGUAUUUCGCGGGGGCACCAGGGAGGAUGUCCCCGAUAUUUACUGCUGCUGUGAUGGCUAGGAGCAAGAGAGGAGGUGAGAAGAAGACGCAUGUGUUUGUGCAUGAGAUUGAUAGGGAAGUCGAGAGGGUCUUUAGCGAGGAGUUCUUAUGUGAAGAGAAUUUGGCGGAGACGGUCGAUUCAUUGGGGCAUUUUGUGGUGGAGAGAAAGGAAACUAAUGACUUUGAGUUCUGUGAAAAUUCGACCUCAUCAUCUUCAUCGCCAUUGUCGACAGCAAAAACUGCAUCUUUAUCAUCUGGAGAUGAUGCUGCUGCUGAUGAUGACGCUUGAACUGGGUUCUGAUUGCCUGUAUGAU
rnacentral:misc_RNA from 1 species